GUGCUCACUUUGGUAGCACAUGUUCUAAAAACUGGAACAAUACAGAGAAGAUUUAACACAGCCCCUGAACAAGGAUGACACACAAAUUCAUGAAAUGUUCCAUAUUUUU
ensembl:snRNA U6 U6 spliceosomal RNA